rnacentral:rRNA from 1 species
AGAGUUUGAUCCUGGCUCAGGUUGAACGCUGGCGGCAUGCCUUACACAUGCAAGUCGAACGGCAGCGCGAGGCAACCUGGCGGCGAGUGGCGAACGGGUGAGUAAUAUAUCGGAACGUGCCCUGGAGUGGGGGAUAACGCAGCGAAAGUUGCGCUAAUACCGCAUACGAUCUAAGGAUGAAAGCGGGGGAUUCGCAAGAACCUCGUGCUCCUGGAGCGGCCGAUAUCUGAUUAGCUAGUUGGUGGGGUAAAGGCCUACCAAGGCAUCGAUCAGUAGCUGGUCUGAGAGGACGACCAGCCACACUGGAACUGAGACACGGUCCAGACUCCUACGGGAGGCAGCAGUGGGGAAUUUUGGACAAUGGGCGCAAGCCUGAUCCAGCAAUGCCGCGUGAGUGAAGAAGGCCUUCGGGUUGUAAAGCUCUUUUGUCAGGGAAGAAACGGUGGAGGCUAAUAUCCUUUGCUAAUGACGGUACCUGAAGAAUAAGCACCGGCUAACUACGUGCCAGCAGCCGCGGUAAUACGUAGGGUGCAAGCGUUAAUCGGAAUUACUGGGCGUAAAGCGUGCGCAGGCGGUUUUGUAAGUUUGUCGUGAAAUCCCCGGGCUCAACCUGGGAAUGGCGAUGAAGACUGCAAGGCUAGAAUCUGGCAGAGGGGGGUAGAAUUCCACGUGUAGCAGUGAAAUGCGUAGAGAUGUGGAGGAACACCGAUGGCGAAAGCAACCCCCUGGGUCAAGAUUGACGCUCAUGCACGAAAGCGUGGGGAGCAAACAGGAUUAGAUACCCUGGUAGUCC